GAUCGUCUCCAAUUCUCAAAGAAGAGAAUGAUGGCAUAUCCUUAGGCAAACUUCUGUCAUUUCCCCACCAACAACAACCAUUCUUCUUCUCCUUUCUUGCACAUUCACAACCUUAAGUAGCCACUAAAAUACCACCCAAAGACCAUAAAUCUCCAUUAAACCAAGAAGAACAGAGCACAAAAAUAAGAAUAAGAAUAGAUCCGAGAGGACACAUUCAGAGACGAAACAGGCUGAAAGAAGCUAAAAAUGCAGCUUAAACUAUCGCAUUUGGAUUUUUCGUAGCCGAUCGACAUCGCUAAUAUGAGGUUCCGUUCGUAGUCACACCCGAAAGCUCCGGUCUGGCAUCACCUAGUAGCUAAGUUUGUAAUUUCAACUCCAUUCAUUUAUACGAAAGGUCUGAUCUUCGCCUUAUAAACUAUGUCGUUAAUAAUUAGAUUUCUUGUGUGCC
rnacentral:lncRNA from 1 species